rnacentral:lncRNA from 1 species
UCAUUAAUAAUAGAUCUAAUUGAUCUAAUUAAAUAGGAUCUAUUUUAUUUUAUUUUACCUCGCGCGGGUCGAGAUCACCGCGAAGUUGACAAUCGUUGUUAAAAUUGUUCGUCCUCGGUUAGCCGCGCACGGGCCCGGCCUCUACUCGCGUCCACACAAAAUCACACCCUUGAUCGAAUUAGACGACCGCUUCGAUCUGUGAUCCAAUCACGAAUUAACCCUUGCAUCGACUUGAGGAAGAUGAAUCAAUCUUCUAUAUGUGCUAGCAACCUUUUGAAGAUCGAAACUGAUGGAUUAAUUAUGGAGGACUUGAGGAAGAGGAUUUGAUGGCUAGGGUUUUCUUUUUCUCUUGCAUUAAUUUUCAUUGUUUUUAAUAUGUCAUAUGACAUAUAUUUAUAAUGAGAAAACCCUAAGCCUAAUCCUAAUCCUAAUCGAAAUCGUAUUCCGAUUGGAUUAUCCAUUAACCCACAAGUUGGUUAUGAUAUUAACCGAAUCCGAAUCCGAAUCCUAAUUCUAAUUCAAUAUGUGUGUAACAUUUACACAUAAAUCCUCAUAUUAUUUACUAACGAACUUUUACACAUAAAUACCUCUAAUUUACAACAAUUGCAAAUUAGUCCUUUUACUAAUAAAUUAGUAUUUAAUUAUAAUUGUAAUUAAUCCAUCCUAUAAACUUUUUUUAUCGUUUCCUAAAUAUCGAUCAUGCGCGAUUUCUUAUGUGUGCGGUUCAAUUCUGUCUGGUAGUGAGUUAUGAUGCGAUCCCUAUCUACAUCAUCAUCGAAACUCCUUUCGAUGGCUCAAACUCUUUUGAUUCUACCCUAAUAGAAUAAUUAAUUAUUAAUAAUUAUUUCUAUUGGUUCCCACAUUCACCAGUGACGCCUAGCAGCAUGUAGUGGCAAUCCAGUCAGAAGUGAAUAUCGGACUGAACCUCUAGGUGCAGUUACCGUACAAUACAAUCCUUCUAUCGCAUAGUUCCAACUGAGUAGAGGUCAUGGAAUAUUCGUCAAACCCCUUUACCCGUCAUAUGACAAAUUUGAUAGGACAGAAGCUCUUAUGGUUACUCUUGGAAACCUCUUUCCAUACACCAUAUUACCCCGGCCGAGAAUUUCUAAGCUUUGCCUUAUAAAUAGCAUAGAACUAAUUAUCUCUCUACCGAGAGCGAUAAAUCCCCUUUAAACCCACACCCAUUCCUGAUAUGAACCGACUGCAACCAACAUAUACUACUAAGACCCAUGGCUAGGAUCAGAGUUUGUUGCAUAGUCAAACUACAGUAGCCUCACAUUGAAUGGUCGUGGUGUCGCAGGUCUAAGGAUAAGUUGUACCACUGCAACAUCGAACCAGUUACUGAUGAAUGAGUAGACAUCCAUGUAACUGUUCGUAGUUGAUCACGCUCAGUACCCUUGUUCUCCAACAACCACCUGCAUGUUCGCUCCAGUGUCCCCACACUGAUGACUCGAGAUUCGUCAUCCCAAAAGGGAAGCGGCACACGCAUCAAUCUUACCAAAUCAAUCAUCGUCCCCAUGAUGAUCCUCCGAUUGAGAGCAUUUAUGAAUUAAUCGCCAAUAAUAUGUAUCUCAAAUUCUCAACUCUUGAGAAUACAUAUUAUUAUCUUAUUAAUUCAAAGGACGAUUCAUAGACACAUUUAACAUGAAUAGAAUAAAAGGCCUAAUAAUAAAGAUUAAGUACAAAAAUAUGUUCUAUAGAAAAUAAAAUGCGUCAGCCUGAUAGGCUUCUAGGGCAUACAACUAACACCAACCAUCAAGCCUUUGCCAUUGCGCUAGGGACAGUUGAUGUUGAGGAUAAUUUUCAUGUUGUUGAAGGGAAAUUUUGGGGCUUUUCAAUAUAUAGUUUCUUGAGGGUUCUCAUAUGAUUAGAACUCCAUAAGAUUUAAAGGAUACCUCAACAACAAAGAUUUACUUUACGAAGAGAUUUUACUAGCUUAGGUAAAUUUCUUAGCCUUAAGAGAAGUUUUCUUGGCAGAUUUGAAAAUAGAAGUUUUUAGUUUAACUCUCAUGGUGAAAACCUUUUCCUUAGGUUUGAUUUUAACCUUGGGUACUCAACGGUAGUCUCCAAAGAUAUCGACUACUAAGCUAAAGCGGGGAAUGCCUUUCAAAAAGGGUUUGAUUUUACUUUUGUCUAAAGUUUUCUUUUCUUAGUCUCGCACUCUUGAUUUUAAUAAAGUACUCCUUGAAUAGCAUGGUUUAUGCUCUCAUUGUACAUGCAUGCAGCUUGGCGGUAACCAUGAAAUGUUAUAGUUGGGAUAAUGCUCUUAUAUGCAUAGUAUUGUCGGUUUAUCUUCUUAGUCAAAAAUCCUUGUAAUGUAUAUAUCCGUCGUGAGAUAUAGCUUACUAGCCCAUUUUGAUAUGAGCAUGGUUAAAAGUAGUUUACAAGACUUAUGAACUUAGUAAACAAAUGAGGUCACUUGACAAAGAAAAAACAUAGUGCAAACAUAGUGGCAAUGUACAACCAAAACUUGAACCUAUUGAUAUUGCAUGAUUGGUAACAUACGGAUAUGACGUAAACCCUUGAGGUGACAUGAAAAUGAAAAUCUGUAGAUGUAGGUUGUGAAUAAAGCUUGAAAGACCUGAUAUUUUGCUAGAUGGCAUCACUUGUGCAAAUUGCAACUCCAUGAGUCAAGACCUUUCGAAAGUGUCACUAUGAGGUAGGGGUGGCAAUCCAGCUCGCUGUUUGCGAGCCAGCUCGUGUUCGACUCGAAAACAGCUCGAAUACAUAUAUUUUAUAUUUAUAUAAUUUAUUAAUUUAUAUUUUUAUAUAUAAAUAAAUAAUUAUACAUAAUAUAUAUUUUUAUUAUUUAAUUUUUAGCAAAAUAAAAAUAUAAAUGCAAGCUUAAUUAUAAAANGAAUACAUAUAUUUUAUAUUUAUAUAAUUUAUUUAAUUUAUAUUUAUAUAUAUAAAUAAAUAAUUAUAUUUAUAAUAUAUAUUUUAAUUAUUUAAUUUUUAGCAAAAUAAAAAUAUAAAGGUGAGCUUAAUUAUAAAAAAAAAACUCAUUUAUAUGUAAAGUUUCAACUAUUAGAUCAAAGUCUAAUGGAUAAAAUUUUAUAAAUUUAUUUUUUAUAUAUAUUCAAUCUAAUCUUUUUCAACUUAUUGUUCGUUGGCUAGCUCGUGAGCCAGCUCGUGUUCGGCUCGUUUAUUAACGAGCUGAACACGAGCUGAGUUUUUCAGCUUGAUACUUUAACGAGCCAGCUCGUGUUCGGCUCGUUUACACCCCUACUAUGAGGUACUAUGAUAUUGCUUGGCCUUUUUAUGUAUGCCAAGUGUGGACGUAAUACGACAUUGUUCGGCGCCCAUGAGGUAAUGUUGAGCAAGCGAGGACUAGACGUCCUACGGGCUGGUUUAGGUAAUUGGGUAUGACAUUGGUACUUUCUAUUUGAGAACUUGAUGCAUAUAAAGUAGAUAAGUUUAGUAUCUUAUUAACAAACUUCAAAACUUUGUGGAAGCAUAGUAGCAAUAUUUUUCUUGCAUCUAUUUUACCAUGAUUAGUUGAGCAUCAUAUAUUGCUUACUUUUCCUAUUAUGCUUCCUUUGGGCCGAGUGUAGAUCGCAUUCUUCAGCGGUUGCACCCAAUGAAAACUUAUUUCAAGUUUUCACCCUUCAUUUUUGAUUUUUUCUACAGGAGUUCGUCAUUCCAGGAGGUGUGUAGUUGAGGCAAGGGUGUCACAAUAGCUAAUGGUGUCGAGGCCUUUGUUACAUUUUGACAUACUCAGCAAGAGGAACUUUCUAGUGAACCAUCUAAUUGUAUUUAUUUAUGAGAGAUGUACUUGUUAUUUCUAUCAUAAUGGUUGUAUUUCGAGGUUAUCAAAAAAUUGUAUAAGUUUAAGUAAUUGGUAAAUUUCAUUCUACACAUGUAUUCUUGUGACGAAUUGAUUACACAUGUAGCAAUACUUUAUGUGGGUAGAGAAGAUUCUGUCCGUGCAGUGGGUCUAUCGCAACCCCGGCAAAAGGAUCUUCCAUUGCUCUAUCCGGGGCUUAACAAAUUAUCUUUCAAUCUUUCACACCCUGAGGUUUAGCUUUUAGAAAAGAAGUGGCUAACUUUUUUUUUCCGAAAAUAUUAGAGUAACAAUGAGACACACACUACAACAAAAUUAGGCUAUAGCGACACUUUUUAGUGUCCCUGAAACAUAAGAAAAGUGCUGAUAGUAAAAUACCGACACUAAUUAUAGUGUC